UACGUAGGUGGCAAGCGUUAUCCGGAUUUACUGGGUGUAAAGGGCGUGUGGGCGGGAAAGCAAGUCAGAUGUGAAAACCACGGGCUCAACCUGUGGCCUGCAUUUGAAACUGUUUUUCUUGAGUACUGGAGAGGCAGACGGAAUUCCUCGUGUAGCGGUGAAAUGCGUAGAUAUGAGGAGGAACACCAGUGGCGAAGGCGGUCUGCUGGACAGCAACUGACGCUGAGGCGCGAAAGCGUGGGGAGCAAACAGG
rnacentral:rRNA from 1 species